rnacentral:rRNA from 1 species
AAUACRACUCUCGGCAACGGAUAUCUCGGCUCUCGCAUCGAUGAAGAACGUAGCGAAAUGCGAUACUUGGUGUGAAUUGCAGAAUCCCGUGAACCAUCGAGUCUUUGAACGCAAGUUGCGCCCCAAGCCRUUAGGCUGAGGGCACGUCUGCCUGGGUGUCACGC